GGCGGAAGAAGGGGCUGGCGCGCGCUCCGUCCUUGAUGCGCGCCGCCAGGGGCUUCGAGAGCUGCCGGACGCCCAGGGGCUGCCACCUUCUGUGCCAGAAGAACUAAUUGACCCCCUUGGAGGGAGCAGCUGCCAAGCGAAAUCACCGAGCAGAGAAAGAAACCCUCCAGCAGCUUAGUUCCAAGAUCAUCAGACACCCAGGACUUCAACACGACUCGAGACCUUUACCUGAUGCUGUCCAGAGGCCAGAGGUGAUGGCAGCUUCCGGAGUCAUAAGCAGCCCUUUGACCCAGCUGCCUGGAAAUCGAGUGGAGGAAGAGGAAGGCUGCUCCAAGGGGAGUGGCUGGUUUGGAGCCAUGCAAAAACCGGGAAGGGGAAGGCCCAGAGCGAGCCCUGUGCCGGGACCCGCGUGCCGCUUUCUCAUAGGAGGGGAACGCGCAGAAGGGAUGGAGAAUAGGGUCAGGGUGGUUUUCAUACCCUUAAAUGGUAAGUGGUGUCACAUGGCGUCACACAGCUCACGUGGGAGGCCCAAGGGAAUGAGCGUGGGUUCACUGUUUGUCUUAGUAAGUUAUGGGAACUUACAGGGAACGCCUGGCUGGCCUCCCCACGUGAAAUCUGGCCGUAUCCCCGGGUCCUGUCUUUAAGUGAUACAACAUGGCCUCCGUGAUGAGGAGCUGCUAUGCCUGACA